rnacentral:rRNA from 1 species
GACGAACGCUGGCGGCGUGCUUAACACAUGCAAGUCGAACGGAAAGGCCCUUCUUUUUUGGGGUGCUCUAGUGGCUAAAGGGUGAGUAACACGUUAGUAACCUGCCCUUGACUUUUGUAUAACUUCAUGAAACUUCGGCUAAUACCUGAUAGGAGCUCCUGCUUCAUGGUUGUGGUUGGAAAGUUUCGUCGGUUGUGGUUGGCCUCGCGGCUUAUCAGCUUGUUGGUGGGGUAGUGGCUUACCAAGGCUUUGACGGAUAGCCAGCAUGAGAGGGUGACCGGGAAAAAGGGGAAUGAGAUAAGGCCCAGAAACGAAAGGGAGGCAGCAGUGGGGAAUAUUAAAAAAUGGGAGGAAGACUGAUGCAGAAAAGGAGCGUGCGGGAUGAAGGACUACGGGUUGUAAACAGAAUUAGCCUGAGACGAAGCGGGAGUGACGGUAAUGGAUAAAGAAGCAACGGCUAACAACGUG